AAUGUUCCGGUUCAAUACUCUUUUUUUUUUGCUUUUGCUACGUAGGAGGUACAAAUUACUGCAAUUUUGGUUGUUCCCAUAAAGACUUAGCUGACCGUGGACUUUGAAUUGUCCACCUGCUCCAUGGGAAUUCAACAUGGAGUCACAUUGAAAAUAAGAAGCUAGGGAGACUGCAUACUGACAAAGAGGUUUUUGUACAAGAGAGGUUCCCAUGCACUCUUCACUAAAUCAUAAGUAAGAGAUGUCAAAGGCUCAAUGAGUGUCCCUGACUACUGGCAAAGAAGGGACAUUCACAACAAUUCCUUGCAAGGUAACAAAACGAGGACAGUCCAAGACUUCAGCAGUAAAGUGUUAAAAGAAAAAAAAAACUCAACAAAAAAGAAAGCAUGGUGACAAGGAAAAGAAGAAUUCCUGGGAAAUGAGUCAUCUACACCUUUUCAAGGACAGCU